rnacentral:rRNA from 1 species
AUACAGAGGGUGCAAGCGUUAAUCGGAUUUACUGGGCGUAAAGCGCGCGUAGGUGGUUAGAUCAGUCGGAUGUGAAAGCCCCGGGCUCAACCUGGGAAUUGCAUUCGAUACUGUCUGACUAGAGUUUAGUAGAGGAAGGUGGAAUUCCAGGUGUAGCGGUGAAAUGCGUAGAUAUCUGGAGGAAUACCGGUGGCGAAGGCGGCCUUCUGGACUAAAACUGACACUGAGGUGCGAAAGCGUGGGGAGCAAACAGGAUUAGAAACCCCAGUAGUCC